rnacentral:rRNA from 1 species
UACGUAGGGUGCGAGCGUUGUCCGGAAUUAUUGGGCGUAAAGGGCUCGUAGGCGGUUUGUCACGUCGGGAGUGAAAACUCAGGGCUUAACCCUGAGCCUGCUUCCGAUACGGGCAGACUAGAGGUAUGCAGGGGAGAAUGGAAUUCCUGGUGUAGCGGUGAAAUGCGCAGAUAUCAGGAGGAACACCAGUGGCGAAGGCGGUUCUCUGGGCAUUACCUGACGCUGAGGAGCGAAAGUGUGGGGAGCAAACGGG